AUUCCAUGGUACGGACAUUUUUCUCAUGAACUCAUUAAAUCUAUUCCAUGCCUCGUGAUAGUUUUCUCCCUCUUUCUAUUCAAAAGUUUGAAUUUCUAAUAUGAUUUU
rnacentral:snoRNA from 1 species